CGCUCGUAGUCGGAUUUCGGGGCGGGCCGACCGGUCUGCCGAUGGGUAUGCACUGGCCGGCGCGUCCUUCCACCCGGAGACCGCGCCUACUCUUAACUGAGCGGGCGCGGGAGACGGGUCUUUUACUUUGAAAAAAUCAGAGUGGUUCAAGCAGGCAGUCGCUCUUGCAUGGAUUAGCAUGGGAUAAUGAAAUAGGACUCUGGUGCUAUUUUGUUGGUUUCGAACACCGGAGUAAUGAUUAACAGGGACAGUCAGGGGCACUCGUAUUCCGCCGAGAGAGGUGAAAUUCUCAGACCAGCGAAAGACGAACCACUGCGAAAGCAUUUGCCAGGGAUGUUUUCACUGAUCAAGAACGAAAGUUAGGGGAUCGAAGACGAUCAGAUACCGUCGUAGUCUUAACCAUAAACCAUGCCGACUAGGGAUUGGAGGAUGUUCCAUUUGUGACUCCUUCAGCACCUUUCGGGAAACUAAAGUCUUUGGGUUCCGGGGGGAGUAUGGUCGCAAGGCUGAAACUUAAAGGAAUUGACGGAAGGGCACCACCAGGAGUGGAGCCUGCGGCUUAAUUUGACUCAACACGGGGAAACUUACCAGGUCCAGACAUUGUGAGGAUUGACAGAUUGAGAGCUCUUUCUUGAUUCGAUGGGUGGUGGUGCAUGGCCGUUCUUAGUUGGUGGAGUGAUUUGUCUGGUUAAUUCCGUUAACGAACGAGACCGCAGCCUGCUAAAUAGCGACG
rnacentral:rRNA from 1 species